rnacentral:rRNA from 1 species
GACGAACGCUGGCGGCGUGCUUAACACAUGCAAGUCGAACGGAAAGGCCCUGCUUUUGUGGGGUGCUCGAGUGGCGAACGGGUGAGUAACACGUGAGUAACCUGCCCUUGACUUUGGGAUAACUUCAGGAAACUGGGGCUAAUACCGGAUAGGAGCUCCUGCCGCAUGGUGGGGGUUGGAAAGUUUCGGCGGUUGGGGAUGGACUCGCGGCUUAUCAGCUUGUUGGUGGGGUAGUGGCUUACCAAGGCUUUGACGGGUAGCCGGCCUGAGAGGGUGACCGGCCACAUUGGGACUGAGAUACGGCCCAGACUCCUACGGGAGGCAGCAGUGGGGAAUAUUGCACAAUGGGCGGAAGCCUGAUGCAGCAACGCCGCGUGCGGGAUGACGGCCUUCGGGUUGUAAACCGCUUUCGCCUGUGACGAAGCGAGAGUGACGGUAAUGGGUAAAGAAGCACCGGCUAACUACGUGCCAGCAGCCGCGGUGAUACGUAGGGUGCGAGCGUUGUCCGGAUUUAUUGGGCGUAAAGGGCUCGUAGGUGGUUGAUCGCGUCGGAAGUGUAAUCUUGGGGCUUAACCCUGAGCGUGCUUUCGAUACGGGUUGACUUGAGGAAGGUAGGGGAGAAUGGAAUUCCUGGUGGAGCGGUGGAAUGCGCAGAUAUCAGGAGGAACACCAGUGGCGAAGGCGGUUCUCUGGGCCUUUCCUGACGCUGAGGAGCGAAAGCGUGGGGAGCGAACAGGCUUAGAUACCCUGGUAGUCCACGCUGUAAACGGUGGGUACUAGGUGUGGGGUCCAUUCCACGGGUUCCGUGCCGUAGCUAACGCUUUAAGUACCCCGCCUGGGGAGUACGGCCGCAAGGCUAAAACUCAAAGGAAUUGACGGGGCCCCGCACAAGCGGCGGAGCAUGCGGAUUAAUUCGAUGCAACGCGUAGAACCUUACCUGGGUUUGACAUGGAUCGGGAGCGCUCAGAGAUGGGUGUGCCUCUUUUGGGGUCGGUUCACAGGUGGUGCAUGGCUGUCGUCAGCUCGUGUCGUGAGAUGUUGGGUUAAGUCCCGCAACGAGCGCAACCCUUGUUCACUGUUGCCAGCACGUUAUGGUGGGGACUCAGUGGAGACCGCCGGGGUCAACUCGGAGGAAGGUGGGGAUGACGUCAAGUCAUCAUGCCCCUUAUGUCCAGGGCUUCACGCAUGCUACAAUGGCUGGUACAGAGAGUGGCGAGCCUGUGAGGGUGAGCGAAUCUCGGAAAGCCGGUCUCAGUUCGGAUUGGGGUCUGCAACUCGACCUCAUGAAGUCGGAGUCGCUAGUAAUCGCAGAUCAGCAACGCUGCGGUGAAUACGUUCCCGGGGCU